UACGAAGGGGGCUAGCGUUGUUCGGAAUUACUGGGCGUAAAGCGUGCGCAGGCGGUUUUGUAAGCCAGAUGUGAAAGCCCCGGGCUCAACCUGGGAAUGGCAAUGGAAACUGGCGGGCUGGAGUAUGGCAGAGGGGGGUGGAAUUCCGCGUGUAGCAGUGAAAUGCGUAGAGAUGCGGAGGAACACCGAUGGCGAAGGCAGCCCCCUGGGCCAAUACUGACGCUCAGGCACGAAAGCGUGGGGAGCAAACAGG
rnacentral:rRNA from 1 species